UUAUGUUAAAAAAAAGUGUUAAAAAUGGAAAUAAACCCAUGUCAGAACAGUGCUGUCUUGUUUUAUGAUACUGUGGGUGAAAAGUUAACAGAAAAGCCAGAACUCUUUUAGGAAGAUUCUAUAUAAGCUCUCAUCAAGAGGUUUCCCACUAUCCCCAGUUCAUUUGACUAAUGAGAUGCAGUGACCUAGAAAUGUGCAACUAAAGACUGUUGCUAAGAGUGGAGAGAUUAACAGAAAAGCCAGAACUCUCUUAGGAAGAUUCUCAUCAGGAGGUUUCCCACAAUCCCCAGUUCAUUUGACUAAUGAGAUGCAGUGACCUAGAAAUGUGCAACAAGAGACUUUGUGAAGGAGGCAAUAGGUUUACAGAAGAAGCUUGCUCACAGUUGAAGUUAGAAGCAAUUCAGUUGAAGCACAGAUUAAUAAGUGUGGCAAUAGAAUUUCCCAGUUGAAGUUACUCAUUCAGUCAGUUACCCACUCAGUCAAUUGCACCUUGUCAGGAUAAUUAGUGUGGCAAUAAAAUUUCCCAGUUGAAGUUACUCAUUCAGUCAGUUACUCAGUCAGCCAAUUGCAUCUUGUCAGGAUAAUUAGUGUAUCAAUAGAAUUUCCCAGUUGAAGUUACUCAUUCAGUCAGUUACCCACUCAGUCAAUUGCACCUUGUCAGGAUAAUUAGUGUGGCAAUAGAAUUUCUCAGUUGAAGUUACUCAGUCAGUCAGUUACUCAGUCAGCUAAUUGCACUUUGUCAGGAUAAUUAUUUUGGCAAUACAAUAUGCCUAAGUUGAAAAAACAAAGCAUGGUCCAAAGAAGGGCACAUCAGAAGAAGUUGAUCGAGAAAAGUCGCAAGAGGGUGACUAAGGAUGCCACGUCUACUAUUGUGCCUGCUUCGGCAGGCACGCCCACCUCGGUGGGCUCUGUGAAAAACUGUGAAAUUACUGUGAAAAACUGUGAAAUUACUGUGAAAAACUGUGAAAUUACUGAGAAAAGCAGUGAAAUUACUG
rnacentral:lncRNA from 1 species